UACGAAGGGGGCUAGCGUUGCUCGGAAUGACUGGGCGUAAAGGGCGCUUAGGCGGCUUACAUAGUUAGGCGUGAAAUUCCUGGGCUCAACCUGGGGACUGCGUCUAAUACAUGUAGGCUUGAGUGUGAAAGAGGGUCGUGGAAUUUCCAGUGUAGAGGUGAAAUUCGUAGAUAUUGGAAAGAACACCGGUGGCGAAGGGGGCGACCGGGUUCAUUACUGACGAUGAGGCGCGAAAGCGUGGGGAGCAAACAGG
rnacentral:rRNA from 1 species